UUUGAUCCUGGCUCAGAUUGAACGCUGGCGGCAGGCCUAACACAUGCAAGUCGAGCGGCAGCACGGGAAGCUUGCUUCCUGGUGGCGAGCGGCGGACGGGUGAGUAAUGCAUAGGAAUCUGCCCGGUAGUGGGGGAUAACCUGGGGAAACCCAGGCUAAUACCGCAUACGCCCUACAGGGGAAAGCAGGGGCUCUUCGGACCUUGCGCUAUCGGAUGAGCCUAUGUCGGAUUAGCUGGUUGGUGAGGUAAUGGCUCACCAAGGCGACGAUCCGUAGCUGGUCUGAGAGGAUGAUCAGCCACAUCGGGACUGAGACACGGCCCGAACUCCUACGGGAGGCAGCAGUGGGGAAUAUUGGACAAUGGGCGCAAGCCUGAUCCAGCCAUGCCGCGUGUGUGAAGAAGGCCCUCGGGUUGUAAAGCACUUUCAGUGGGGAAGAACGCCUUCCGGUUAAUACCCGGGAGGAAAGACAUCACCCACAGAAGAAGCACCGGCUAACUCCGUGCCAGCAGCCGCGGUAAUACGGAGGGUGCGAGCGUUAAUCGGAAUUACUGGGCGUAAAGCGCGCGUAGGUGGCUUGAUAAGCCGGUUGUGAAAGCCCCGGGCUCAACCUGGGAACGGCAUCCGGAACUGUCAGGCUAGAGUGCAGGAGAGGAAGGUAGAAUUCCCGGUGUAGCGGUGAAAUGCGUAGAGAUCGGGAGGAAUACCAGUGGCGAAGGCGGCCUUCUGGACUGACACUGACACUGAGGUGCGAAAGCGUGGGUAGCAAACAGGAUUAGAUACCCUGGUAGUCCACGCCGUAAACGAUGUCGACUAGCCGUUGGGUCCUUCGCGGACUUUGUGGCGCAGUUAACGCGAUAAGUCGACCGCCUGGGGAGUACG
rnacentral:rRNA from 1 species